AACGCUGGCGGCAUGCCUUAACAUGCAAGUCGAACGGCAGCACGGGGGCAACCCUGGUGGCGAGUGGCGAACGGGUGAGUAAUACAUCGGAACGUGUCCUGGAGUGGGGGAUAGCCCGGCGAAAGCCGGAUUAAUACCGCAUACGCUCUGUGGAGGAAAGCGGGGGAUCUUCGGACCUCGCGCUCAAGGGGCGGCCGAUGGCGGAUUAGCUAGUUGGUGGGGUAAAGGCCUACCAAGGCGACGAUCCGUAGCUGGUCUGAGAGGACGACCAGCCACACUGGGACUGAGACACGGCCCAGACUCCUACGGGAGGCAGCAGUGGGGAAUUUUGGACAAUGGGGGCAACCCUGAUCCAGCAAUGCCGCGUGUGUGAAGAAGGCCUUCGGGUUGUAAAGCACUUUUGUCCGGAAAGAAAACCUCUGCCCUAAUAUGGCGGGGGGAUGACGGUACCGGAAGAAUAAGCACCGGCUAACUACGUGCCAGCAGCCGCGGUAAUACGUAGGGUGCGAGCGUUAAUCGGAAUUACUGGGCGUAAAGCGUGCGCAGGCGGUUCGCUAAGACCGAUGUGAAAUCCCCGGGCUUAACCUGGGAACUGCAUUGGUGACUGGCGGGC
rnacentral:rRNA from 1 species